rnacentral:ncRNA from 3 species
CAAAACGACUCUCGGCAACGGAUAU